ensembl:snRNA U1 U1 spliceosomal RNA
GGUCUAAGCAAGCUGUAGACAAUCGCGGCUUCUCGUUGGACGAGAGUCUACAGUCUACAGUUACCAUUGCACGUUCCCUGGGCAGAUGUCUGCGAAUUCCCCAAAUGUGGGAAUCUCGACUGCAUAAUUUCUGGUAGUGGGGGACUGCGUUCGCGCUCUCCCCUG